GCCCAGGCGGCGAGCGGCGGGCGAGCGCCCGGAGGUGGUGGCCGAGGCCCAGGCGGCGGCCCGGGAGCGGCGGGAGCAGGCCCGGCCCGGCCCUCGCGCGGCCGCCCGGCAGCAGCAUGCGCGUCCGCCGGGGACUGCGGCUGCCGCGCCGCUCGCUGCUCGCCGCGCUCUUCUUCUUCUCGCUGUCGUCCUCGCUGCUCUACUUCGUCUAUGUGGCGCCCGGCAUAGUGAACACCUACCUCUUCAUGAUGCAAGCUCAAGGCAUUCUGAUCCGGGACAACAUGAGAACUAUAGGCGCUCAGGUUUAUGAACAGGUGGUUCGGAGCGCUUAUGCCAAGAGGAAUAGCAGCGUAAAUGACUCAGAUUAUCCUCUUGACUUGAAUCACAAUGAAACCUUCCUACAAACCACAACUUUUCUUCCUGAAGACUUCACCUACUUUGCAAACCAUACCUGCCCUGAAAGGCUCCCUUCCAUGAAGGGCCCAAUAGACAUAAACAUGAGUGAAAUCGGAAUGGACGACAUUCAUGAACUCUUCUCCAAAGACCCAGCCAUCAAGCUUGGAGGUCACUGGAGGCCUUCUGAUUGCAUGCCCAGAUGGAAGGUGGCGAUCCUUAUCCCUUUCCGGAACCGCCACGAGCACCUUCCAGUCCUACUCCGACACCUGAUUCCCAUGCUUCAGCGCCAGCGCCUGCGGUUUGCAUUUUAUGUGGUUGAGCAAGUUGGUACCCAACCCUUUAACCGAGCCAUGCUCUUCAAUGUUGGUUUUCGAGAAGCAAUGAAGGAUUUGGAUUGGGACUGUCUGAUUUUUCAUGAUGUGGAUCAUAUACCGGAAAGCGAUCGCAACUAUUAUGGAUGUGGACAGAUGCCGAGGCACUUUGCAACCAAAUUGGAUAAGUAUAUGUAUCUGCUUCCUUACACUGAGUUCUUUGGCGGAGUGAGUGGCUUGACAGUGGAACAGUUUCGGAAAAUCAACGGCUUUCCUAAUGCUUUCUGGGGUUGGGGUGGAGAAGAUGACGACCUCUGGAACAGAGUACAGAAUGCAGGCUAUUCUGUGAGUCGGCCAGAAGGUGACACAGGGAAGUACAAGUCCAUUCCUCAUCAUCAUCGAGGAGAAGUCCAGUUUCUUGGAAGGUAUGCUCUGCUGAGGAAGUCGAAAGAAAGGCAAGGGCUGGACGGCCUCAACAACUUGAACUACUUUGCAAACAUCACAUAUGAUGCCUUGUACAAAAACAUAACUGUCAACUUAACACCCGAGCUGGCUCAGGUGAACGAGUACUGAGUUGAGAGGAUGUACGUUUACUUUACCCGCUGCCACCAAGAAAGCAGCCUGAUGAGAUGUUUUUGGAGUCUACCCAGGAAGAGGAGAGAAAUACAGCAUCUAAUGAAGGAUCACAGGGUUCAAGGACAAAAUGUGAGAGAACACACACAAAAUGCCUUCUCUGUGUUGACCCGCUGUGAUGGGAUCAAGGCAGCUUGGGGACUUCCUUCAUCAGGACUGGUUUUCUUCUUCUCUCAAGACAGAUGUCUGUCCUGCUGCUGCUCCCCCUCCUGUCUCCUGCCCUGACCCCUCUCCUGUCUUAGCCACAAUCGCCAGUGUCGACCUGCCAUGGUGUCCCGUGAAACCCGUUCCUACCAGUGACCUUUGGAGCUUCUUGGCCUUCAGUGCAAAGAGGCAGACCCACCCCAGGGCAGCUGCAUUUUAGGAAGAGCAAGUGAAAUGCCCCACACCAUUCUUCUACAUCCCUGACGCUGCCACCUCAGAGCACCCAGUCUGAAAGAGCCAACUGUCCCAGUCAUCCUCCCCAGAGUGGAGCCCUCUUUCCUACCUGACAACUUCACCAAGCCUCACACCAUUGUUCUGGAAAUCAAAUCACAGCCCCUGUAGGUCACAGGUCCGUAAUCAAAGGUUGCUGAGGGGGCUGGUGGCAAAGAAGAAAGGUUUGCCUUGGG